GCCAAAGGGCUCUUGGCCUUUAAUCUUUGACUGGGGGAGGCCUAUGGCUUGCUUUGAAGAAUGAUGAGAUGACUUGAGAUAAUGUGGAAAAUGAGGCUAUGACUGCUAAUGUCAGCCCUGGGAAGGGAUGUGAUAGCUUCCCUCACCACCACCCCAGUGUGACUAAAAGGGGAAAAGACUGUUUAAAGGAGAUGGAAAGGAAGAGUGGCAACAGAAACCAUCUGCCCUGGGGAGGGUUGUUCCAGCUUGCCCCUGUCCCCAAAGAGCAGCCAUGGCCAUAGAACGGAGCUCAGCAGCAAUGGAAGAGAAUGUUGGGUGGAUGUCUGAGCCUUGAUGAGGAGAACUGAGUGGUGAGAGGAGGCCUUGGUGAGAGGAGGACUGAGUGGCAGAGAACUGUGUGAUAUGUGCCUCUAUGGGGCUGGUCUCCCCUGCUUAGCCUUGGUAGUGGACCUGGUGAGACCAGAGUUUUGGCAGACUUGGGAGAUAAACAGGUCUCUGCAAAUGAGAACAGGAGCUGGUGAGAGCAACAAAUGAGCGGUGACACUGAAGACUUCCAGGAGGAGGGGAAGUCAACGACGACGACAACGUCAUUUCCUAUCUAUGUGCUGCGCAGCUGCGUUGAUCUGGAACUUGUCCGCAGCACCGGUGCACCACACAAAGCACCAUGCCUUUCCUUGGACUUUGAGGCCCAAAUCAACAUGGUGAAGGUGGAGUGCCUGGCAUCAGCAAAGAUGUGCCAUGUUGUGCAUGUGGGUGCAUGGAUGGCAAGUAGUAAACAAGCACAAUUUUUCACAUUGCACAACAUUAUUACUGAUCACAGUGGCAUACCUGUUAAGGCAUCAGCCUUGGGUUUCUAUUUCCCAGCUUUCUGGAGCUUGAGUCAAAAUGAGAUAGCCUUAACUCUGGUCUUAAACCAGCAGGUUUAUUGACCAUCAGAAAUCCAUGUUUUGUGAAAAGGGAAAGUUAUGGUUACAGAGUUAGCAAUCCAAUACUCUCCCCAAUGUAACAUUUAGUGUUGACUCUAAAGAGACAGUGAAUUGCAUUAUAUGUUAAACAGUUGUAGUAUAUUCUGCAUUAUAAUAGAGUCUUACAUUCUUUGUGAAUGUGAUCUACUACAGUAUGUACAAGAUAUCUUGGAAGGUGCACACAGAAUCGGAAUGGGAAGUAUAAUCCUUCCCAGCACUUUCCCCAUAAAAGCCUAUGAGGAACAUGCUGAGAAGGACUACAGUUCUCAGUGCUCCAUACUUGUAUAUGUUUGUAUGAGUUUUUGUGUGUGCAAGUAUAUAUGUUGUGUUUAUGUAUUCAUUGGUAUACAGGCGAUGCAAUUCACAUAAUAAUGUGACUCACAAUUUCUCCUUAAGGACCUUCGUUUAUUUCAUAAAAGGAAAAAUAGAUAAAAACAAACAAACAAACGUUUCAACAUCAAAAACGUCAUUGAAGCUGACGUUUUUAUAUCUAAAGGUUUGUUUUUAUGUAUUUUUAUUUUUAUGCAAUAAAUGAAGGUUCUUAAGGAAAAGUUGUGUUUAUAUGUUUGUAUAUUUGUGUUUGUAUGUGUCUGUUUAUGUGUUAUUCUCUCUCUGUGUGUUGUGUGAGUGUGUGUUUCUGUGUGCUUGUGUUUAGGUUGUGUAUGUACUUGUGUCUGCAUGUGUUUGCAUGUAUGUGUACAUUUGUGCACUUGCAUAUCUAUGUGUGCACAUGUGGAAUUUGUUAUUGACAUCAGCAUGGGUUGAGUGCCUAUUUGUGUAUUUACUUGUGCAUGUAUUUUCAUGCAUUUUUUGUUGUAUGCAUGUGUGUAAUAAUCUUUUGUGUAAAUCGGAUUUUCACAUAUAGGAUUACCAGUUUCAUAAGAUAUAUUCAGUGCAAUUUAUCUAUUACUUUUGGCUUCAGAUCCAUUGGGUUAUUCAACACAAGUUAUUUUAAUAGCCUGGAAUUAAAACCAACAAAUUAUCUGGC